UACGGGGGGGGCAAGCGUUGUUCGGAAUUACUGGGCGUAAAGGGCUCGUAGGUGGCCAACUAAGUCAGACGUGAAAUCCCUCAGCUUAACUGGGGAACUGCGUCUGAUACUGGAUGGCUUGAGUUUGGGAGAGGGAUGCGGAAUUCCAGGUGUAGCGGUGAAAUGCGUAGAUAUCUGGAGGAACACCGGUGGCGAAAGCGGCUCUCUGGAACGGUACUGACGCUGAGACGCGAAAGCGUGGGGAGCGAACAGG
rnacentral:rRNA from 1 species